CAUGGCAUGGAGCAUCUGGCAUGUGUACCAUAAUUUUAUAUGCGCCAUCUCUAUUGCCCCGGUCCGGGCGGGUUUUCGGGUCCUUUUUUUUCCCCGGGACCGUUGGUAUAGGAAGUGGGUUGUGUAUCGCGCUCGUUUUGUUGCUCUUUUUUUGCUAAUGCGUAUAUGUGUGUGUCUGUGUGUGUGUUUGUGCAAUGUAUGUGGUUUAUAGUAAUAAAAGUUUUGUGUGUAUUUUUCGCUCCACUCGGUUUGGAAUUAGUGAAGCACUGGGCGGCCGCUGACGUUACGACAUUUUUAGUUUGAGGGGGUUCUAUUUCACAGCCACACGUGCAGAAAGGUAAAAAAAGCAUUCAUAGCAACACUCGCUCGUUACUAUAGUGACGCUUUUUCGUGUAUAUCGGAUGUGAAUGUGUUCGCAAAAAAAAAACAAACCUGCUGUCGCUCGUAUGAGCUGGAUCCUUUUUCGGGUUUGGACGAAGAAACAGAAGCGCCCCAGAAGCCAGUCCCUAUCCAGUGUAUGUGGGUGUACGUGUGUGUGUGUGUGUGUGAUUAAAAAUCGCCAUUGCCAACGAAACUGGGAGUGAAAAAAAAUAGCGACGGUCCCGCUAAAUGAUAAACGAAGAGGAACGAAGUAAUGGCGAUCCGGAUUGUACCACAGUGUGCCGGAAUGUGCGGUGACGUUCUUUAUGUCACGCGAAAUGAGCAAAAGAUGCCCGGCAAAGAGUAGGAACAGUGGCAGCAGCAACAUCAGCAGCACCAGCAAUCGAGAGAGAGAGAGAGAUCCUCCAGUUGGGCAAAUAGUUGACAACUAGACUAGCCCGUGGACAUGUCUAGCAGCAGAAGCAGUGCUUUAUGAGCACGCAGGAACCGGACCCAUCCGACAGCAUCCUAUCCGGGCGGGUUCAAAAGGGGGAAGAGAUUAAUUGCCAUUUAUUUUUCAACAAUUUAAUUACACUUUUGUUUAAUGACCUCCAUGCGCCAUUCCAGCCAAUCCGUUGUUGCGUUUCCGGAGCGUCCGAACACACAUCCAUAUACACAAACACACAGACAUAUACAAAGGGAAUAUGAAGAGCCACCGACAGGCUGAAAUUAAACCGAAACGUAAUGAGGAUAAUCAAUUACAGCAGCACAAGGACACUUUUACCAUCCUCCCCGACCGUUGGGGUGUGUGUCCUAGUGGCUUUGAAACUUUCCGGACGCGAGGUUCAUCACAUCAGUAAGCUUGGGAGACACUUUUUGGAGCGUACUCUGGCUGGAUGGUGCUUUAUGACGCUGACAACUUCUGAUCGAACGCAGGGACAGACGGAGCAAAGUUGGAAAAUGGUUCGUCAUAAGGAAGACCGAUCGAAACUUUUCCACCUGCAGCAAUAUCAACAUCCAGCGGAGAGGCUAGAGCGCAUCACGAGUGCUCGUGCUUAGCUCGGAUCAAGCUCGGUUACGGAUUCGGAGCAGUUUAUCACUUUACACGCAAUCCUUGAAGGCCACAACGAGAAAGGAACAAGGAAAAAGUAUGUUUUAAUAAGCAAGAAAGAAAAAUGAAAGACCCAGAGUUUGCAAAACAGCUUCGGCAACCUUAA